AUGUACUCGUGACUUGUUUAAUGGCUUUCCUGGCAGCCAAUACGAGAUUGAGACAGGAGGAUCUUGCAGUGGGAGGGGAGUUCGGAAACCACUGAUUUAGCGCUAUUCUUUAAACAUCUGCCAAUGGCACGGAUGCGUCAGAUGCCUCGGUUGCAGGUGCGUUGUGAAUUCGGCAGGAAAACUGCAUGACACGCUCAUAAAUGAGAUUUGCUACAUUGGUCUAAAUGUUAUGCGCUUAUAGGCUAUUAAGUCCGCAUUUUGAUUUAAAGAAAAUACAACUCUUGUGUGGCCCUUGUCAUAUCUAUUUUUACAGACUUUUCUAGCGACAUGCCGAUAUAUUUUAGUAUCUAUCAGUUGUUACUUUAGUGGAAUUCUGCGUAGCAAUAAAAUAAUUCUUAGUAUCUAGGCGGCGGGGAUUGCAUGCAUUGUGACAAGCUCGCAAGGUAAAUAAUGAUACAGCUGCUCAACUGUGCAGCGGACACUGGCGAAACUAAACCAUGCUUACAAGGGACAUGUCUUGGUAGAUUGUUGUCAGUGAAACAAUAAUGUAAAUGUAACGUAGGCCUACUUAAAUAUAUUUUGCUAUGUUGAUCGAUGAGAACUGCAGUACGCAUUGCGCUUUCGCCAAAUCUACGCGCUGCGCGAUUUAAUUAUUUCACUGCCAGUUGCAACGGACAACACGGAUGCGUAAUUCGUGGAGCUAUACUGGUAAUUGAUUUCGCUUGUUACUGUAUUUCUUAGCAGGCAAGCGCAGUCCUUUUGCAUUUCCACCAUUCGGCACGCUACACAAUACGAAUAUUGAUUUACAUGCAUAAUUAUAAUUGCCAUUUCAAGCGGUAUCGAUGUGUCAUUGGGUUGUAGCCUAUAUACAUGUUCUGCUGACCAUGUUAAGCUGUAUGUCUAAACGUGUUUAUUAGAAUAAUAUCUUUAAUUAUGUCUUAUUGUCAUUGCCACUAAACCGUGUAUAUGAAAUACAUAUUUGCAGGAAUAUGUGUUAUACUUUAUUGUUGAAUUAUAAAUUACAACAGCUCACACGGGUAAGUGGGACAACGCUUUUAUGGAAACGGCUCGGUGUUCUUCCAGUAUGGAAUUAAAAGCCUUUCUCUGGGAUUCUGUGCGUUAUGCCGCCCUCUGGUGUUGAAAAGUAGCACGUCACAUUUUUAUUUAAUGUAAAAACACGACUACAUCUGUACUGCAUCUCCAUUUUCCAGACAAAACCAUGGGUUUGACAGGGAGCAAACGUUAUGUAAAGUUGGAUAUGAAAUGCAUCAGCGAUUUAGAUUUUGCUCUUUGAGGAGAACCUGGCCUUUAAACACUAUUUAAAAAUAAUAACCAUUUAAAAGCAAUACAUCUUUAAAAAGUUCUCAUACAUGGUGAGGUUAAUCCUACUCUCUUGGAUUAAAUAACCCUAACCCUAACACUUUCUGAACUAGUAAAUAUUUAGGACUGAGAGCAAAACAGUUUUCAAAUCAUUGAUAGCAUUUUCCUGCAUUGAUUUCUUUAAUUUAAUAUACAAAUAAAAUGUAGUUAAAAGAAAUCUCAUUAAUGAUUUCCACAAUUGGUAUUUAGCCCAGUUUAUCUGAUCCGAGUGCCUUUUGCAAAAGUCGUGUCUAAGAUUAUUUUUAAGUUAAGCUAAUCUUUUUGUGUUGUUGUAGGUAGAAAUUGAAAAAAAAAACAUUAUACUUCGAUUUGUUCUUCAAUAAAUGCGCAUAUAUUAACUUAAUUCUACUAUGGCUAAGGUUAAAAAAAAAAAAAAAAAAAAAAAAAAACACAGGUGGCCAAAUAGCCUACUUUUGGCCUGUACUGUAUGUAGUAAUCCAUUCAUUUCGUGAUAUUAGCUCUCAGAAUGGCAGAGCAGCCAUUGGCUCCAUUGCGCCAUCUUGUGGCAUAAACUAGAAUGGCAGUUUUCAUUUGUUCAGAAGGGUUUAAUGGUUUAAAAGAGAAAGAAAAGUGGUAACGUGCACCGGGAAAUUAUUGAAACAUAAAUAGCAAAUACGCAUAUGCAAAUACGCAUAUACGUCUUUGUAUACCUUGAAACAUUUUGGGAAAAGUUCAGAACAAAUUAACUUUGAUGCACAACACUGGCAGGUACGUUCUGUUUACAGCUCUGUGGAGCAACGGCAGUGUGUUGCCUGUAAGAAGAAGCAGGAACCGUUUCAAGGCUGACGUUUGUUAAAAACACCAGCGUCAGCAAUGAAAAGAAGCAAAAACGUGAGAUUCACAGGCCGCUGUAUAAUGAGCAUGACUUUCAUCCACAUCGUGCUUUGUUCCCUGUGUAUGGGAUGUCCAGAUGUUGAAUGUUCAGAAUCAUAGAUCAUAUUUGUAAAACUAAAAGAGCGACAGCUUUUCAGUUCACAUCUCUUAGCAGGCCAGCUUUUGGUUCACAUCUCUUAGCAGGCCAGCUUUUGGUUCACAUCUCUUAGCAGGCCAGCUUUUGGUUCACAUCUCUUAGCAGGCCAGCUUUUGGUUCACAUCUCUUAGCAGGCCAGCUUUUGGUUCACAUCUCUUAGCUGGCCAGCUUUUGGUUCACAUCUCUUAGCUGGCCAGCUUUUGGUUCACAUCUAUUAGCUGGCCAGCUUUUCAUACGUUUUCUUUCUGCCUUCUGUGCUUGGUCAAACACUCCCAAACAGACCCAGGCCCUGUUUCAUGUACGUGAAGGGAGCCCUAACACUGCCUAACAGUGCCUAACACUGCAUAACACUGCCUAACAGUGCCUAACAGUGAUGCAGACAUUGUAUUGAGCUCCACUUCCUCGUACCGGUAAAUUUUGAUACAUUGUUUGCGAUGCUGAAAACAUAGGCCUGAGAAUAAACUUAAUUUGUUCUUUUGCUCCAUACAUAAAAUGCAACGCACAGUGCUUCACACUUGAGGGCAAGAAUAAAAGCAAAAUAAAACUAACAACCAGGAUAUAAGAUUACACAAUAAGUACAUCAGUAAAUGAGGAAAUUAAAACAAGGAAGAGAAAAAAACUUUAAGAAAUAAAACGAGAAAUAGGCUAAAGCCAAAUAAAUUCAAAUAUAAGUAGCCUAAAGCCACAGUAUAGCAGUAUCGCCUAGCAAUCAGUAAAGUGUACCUAGCAUUCAAAAGGCAUAUCAGUGUGUUCACCAGAUUUCCAUUACCCCCGGGCAGAAGGCCACAGACUGCUUGGUGAGCCAUUCCAGUCAUGCCCAUUGUUAUACACAGACCCUUUCCUAUCUUCAGUACGCUUCACUGAAAAGCUUGUGAAUGGCAGAUAAAUAAGCUUGAAGACACCAGGUUAAAAUGUGGUGCUUUCAAGCCAAAUGUUGCGAGUACGUGAACACCUGUCAUUUAACAAAUGAACAUCACUCAAAGCAUGAGAAAAUGAGAAAUUAAAUGCUCAAUUAUGAAUGACUGCUGAAACAAGCUAGAAAAACUGACAAGAGAUUUCUCAUAAAGUAAGUCUAACUUGUCAAAUGCAUAGCAGGUCAGCUCUGUAUUAUAAUGGAAAAAAUUAAGUCUCUUUUGAACGAGACCAAACACCUGUUGACACAAAUAAAAAAUGUAUUCCUGUUUUCAACAAUACAGAUACAGCCUGCCCAGUACUUAAAACCCUAUUUUCAGGCAAAGACUGCCAUAUACGUGAUCUAAAUACUUCCCUGAUACCAAAUUCCUUUACAAGCUGUCCUCUAAUCCAGAACUACUUAAAAUGAUUUAUAAAGCAGUAAAACCUUUCAGUGACAGUAGACGGAACACCUGUUUAUGGCAGGGACCUUAGUGUGUCUUUCAUCUGCAAAGUUUUCUUUGAUGUCUGUGGAAAGAGGAGCGAGAAGAAGAAAAAAAAACGCACACAAGCUGAUUAGGCUAAAGAGCGCAGGCAGCAUGGAUGCUAUUAAAUAUCGCAAGGACCCUGAACCACUGACUUAAAGUCCAGCGAUAGCACCCUCCUCUCCUGAGCUGUGUUCUGAGGGGCACCCAGCAGUGCUGCGGGUGGCUGGAUGCGUGUCAUUCUUCCCUCCUCUGCCGCUGGGGGAGGGCGGGGCCGGGAGGCCUUGUGAUUCGAUAAGGUGGAAUUCCUCAGGGUGCGGGACGGCCCUUAUCUUCCACUCAAGGCCUCCUGCUACCCCCCCCCCCCCGCUCCUCCUCCGCACGACCAAAAAUACGCCGUCCUUGUAGCCGUAAGGACCCCGCAAUCUUCUCUGGACCUGCAAACCUGAAGACCAUCCUGGACAUGACCUCCCAAUACUGCUGCUCGGCUGAGGACUGGAUUCAUAUUUCUAGAUAAUCCUCCUUCCUCAUGAUGCCAUCUAUUUUCUGAAGUCCACACCCCCACAACAUGAUGCUGCCACCCCAUGCUUCACAGUUGGGUUUGUUAUGGUUCCCUGCCCUUGUGCCCUAGUGGCUGCUUGUGGUGUUGCAAUAUUCUUUUUGAUUGUCUUCCUAAUAGGAAAUUGGUGUCACCUGGAAGGGGUCCUACUUAAGGGGCCCUCUGGCUGAUGCUCUCUCUCUCUCCAUUCAGAGGACAACCUGCAGUCUGGCUACACUGCUCAUUCAUUUUCUUUUGUAGCGUUCUUUAAUUUAAAAUAUUUUUGAAUUACGA